CAGUCGCCGCGGGAAUACGUAGGGUGCAAGCGUUAAUCGGAACUACUGGGCGUAAAGCGUGCGCAGGCGGUUCCGCAAGUCAGAUGUGAAAUCCCCGGGCUCAACCUGGGAACUGCACUUGAAACUACGGGGCUAGAGUGUGUCAGAGGGGGGUGGAAUUCCACGUGUAGCAGUGAAAUGCGUAGAGAUGUGGAGGAACACCAAUGGCGAAGGCAGCCCCCUGGGAUGACACUGACGCUCAUGCACGAAAGCGUGGGGAGCAAACAGGAUUAGAUACCCGAGUAGUCCCUGUCUCUUAUAC
rnacentral:rRNA from 1 species